GGAAACCCAUUUCAGGUUCCCACGCCAGCAGAUGCCGAGUGACCACGCCUGGGCGGGCAGGGCUUUCGGUUCUUCCCAGCUGUGUGACCUUGGCAGGGCCCUGCAGCUCUCUGAGCCUUGGGUUCGCCCAUGUGUGCUGGGAUAGUGUCCCUGCCUUCCGUGUCUCUCAGGAGUAUUGAGAACAUCAAGUGAAUUCCAGCAUGGGGCCAGUGCAGGCCAGCAACCAAGAGCGCCCUGCUCCUUCAAGGCAGAGCCUGGAGCCAGGCCACAGAGGCCGGAAGACGCUGGAAGUGCGGCGGGAGCCGGUCCCAUCUGCCCUCCGCACUCUGCCCAGGCUUCUGCCACCGAGCACUGCCUGGACCUGGUGGGGCAUGACUGGGACCCAGGAAGGGUCUGCGACGUCAGUGACAUAAAGCCCAAUAGGACAGAAAAAGGAAGCACUUCUCUCAUUGGAAGUGUUACCUAGAUGUGGGAAUGACAGUGCAGUCAUUGUGAAUGGAGGUCCUGGGGCCGAACCGCCCAGGUGAGAAUCCAGCCUCUACCAGGAGAAGCUGCUGAAGUCUCAUUUCUUCACCUGUACAAUGGGCAGAGUUGCUUUGAGGAUUAAAUGAGAUAAUCCAUACAAGGUGACACCAUGGAAGGUCAGAGAGGUUAGGGAUCUAAUUGCCCAAGGGGCAAUGCCAGCAAGUGGAAACAGAGCCAGAACCUGAACCCACGUCUGCCUAACUCCAAAGACAGCUCUUUCUGUAUGGUGUCCUGCUUGAACUCAGAAUGGGUGCUUUUGGGGCUGUCUGAGAAACGGGAGUGAAGAAUCUCCCAGGCGGCUGGGAGGAGGGCAGGGCCUGGCUGGAGACCCCCAGAGCAGAGUACAGGGACCACGUGGAAAAAGGGAGAUGCAGAAUCAGAGCCCCAGAGCAGUGGGUCGUGGAGGUCGAGGGCCUGGGGCCUAAAAAGGAAGUCACAUUCUUUGAGCGUCGUGUGUCCCAGGCUCUGACGCAUGUGUUGAAGAAUGAAUCAUCAUUGUCCUGCAGACCAUCUAUGACAGAGGAGGUGAAGAUCAAGCCCUGGCCCAGUCACACGGGAGGCACUGUGGAGCUGUGGAGCCCGAAGCAGCAGACAGAGGGGUGAGGAGGGCCUGCGCCCUGUGGCAGGUGGGGGCCUCUAGGUGCCCCCUGCGGUGGGAAAGGCCCUGCCAAGAAGUCCUCGCUCUCCCUCCUGUCUA
rnacentral:lncRNA from 1 species